UACGUAGGGGGCAAGCGUUGUCCGGAUUUAUUGGGCGUAAAGAGCGUGUAGGCGGCCAAACAGGUCAGCUGUGAAAACUCGAGGCUCAACCUCGAGACGUCGGUUGAAACCGUUUGGCUAGAGUCCGGAAGAGGAGAGUGGAAUUCCCGGUGUAGCGGUGAAAUGCGCAGAUAUCGGGAAGAACACCCGUGGCGAAGGCGGCUCUCUGGGACGGUACUGACGCUGAGACGCGAAAGCGUGGGGGAGCGAACAGG
rnacentral:rRNA from 1 species